rnacentral:rRNA from 1 species
AUGAACGCUGGCGGCGUGCCUAAUACAUGCCAGUCGCGCGAACAGACGAGGAGCUUGCUCCUCUGACGUUAGCGGCGGACGGGUGAGUAACACGUGGAUAACCUACCUAUAAGACUGGGAUAACUCCGGGAAACCGGAGCUAAUACCGGAUAAUAUAUUGAACCGCAUGGUUCAAUAGUGAAAUACGGUUUUGCUGUCACUUAUAGAUGGAUCCGCGCCGCAUUAGCUAGUUGGUAAGGUAACGGCUUACCAAGGCAACGAUGAGUAGCCGAUCUGAGAGGGUGAUCGGCCACACUGGAACUGAGACACGGUCCAGACUCCUACGGGAGGCAGCAGUAGGGAAUCUUCCGCAAAGGGCGAAAGCCUGACGGAGCAACGCCGCGUGAGUGAUGAAGGUCUUCGGAUCGUAAAACUCUGUUAUUAGGGAAGAACAAAUGUGUAAGUAACUAUGCACGUCUUGACGGUACCUAAUCAGAAAGCCACGGCUAACUACGUG